CCUUAAGUGCGAGGUCUGACGGAGCAACGCCGCGUGAGUGAUGAAGGUUUUCGGAUCGUAAAGCUCUGUUGUUAGGGAAGAACAAGUGCCGUUCAAAUAGGGCGGCACCUUGACGGUACCUAACCAGAAAGCCACGGCUAACUACGUGCCAGCAGCCGCGGUAAUACGUAGGUGGCAAGCGUUGUCCGGAAUUAUUGGGCGUAAAGGGCUCGCAGGCGGUUUCUUAAGUCUGAUGUGAAAGCCCCCGGCUCAACCGGGGAGGGUCAUUGGAAACUGGGGAACUUGAGUGCAGAAGAGGAGAGUGGAAUUCCACGUGUAGCGGUGAAAUGCGUAGAGAUGUGGAGGAACACCAGUGGCGAAGGCGACUCUCUGGUCUGUAACUGACGCUGAGGAGCGAAAGCGUGGGGAGCGAACAGGAUUAGAUACCCUGGUAGUCCACGCCGUAAACGAUGAGUGCUAAGUGUUAGGGGGUUUCCGCCCCUUAGUGCUGCAGCUAACGCAUUAAGCACUCG
rnacentral:rRNA from 1 species